CAACCUGGGGAGGGCCCACCACUACACCCACUCCUCGGUGUUGUUCCCCCAAUCCCUUCUCCCCCGCACAUCUCGCUCGGCCGUCGUGGGUUGCAUCGCCGCCGCAGAAAUUGGAGCGCCCGCCGGCUGCCGCACAGGUCGCGGGUGGUGGUUGAGCGCGCGCGCGGGGCGGAGGCGCGAGAGGCUGUGGUGGUGCGCGCGGGGACUGCAGAAGAGAGGCGGAGCGGGUGAAGGUCGCAGCGGUGCUCUGUCUCCAGUCCGCCAAGGGGUGCGGGGUGAAGGUCGCCGGCGACGCUGCGUUUCCGGCGAGGGGACUUGCCACGGAGUUUCUGAGCAUCAACAAUGUCUGAGACAAGCAAAAAAAAGUGACGGUCAGGUCGCACAAGCAACCCAACAGGGUGUAGAUGAAAUAGAGCGCAGGUACGCCCACCACAGCAACAAAACACGCCGGUAAUUGUCUACAAGUGUAUGCGCACUAAAGAGAUCAUCUAUCGCGGGAAGCACCCAUCAGACAUAGAUAGUAAUACCAGUGCACCAGAUGCUGAUUUAGAAGGCAAGGAUAUCAUGCAAGAGGAGGAAUCGAAGCCAAAACGGCAGAGGACAGGCGAAAACGAGUAGGAACUAAUGGAUGGAUCAAGCAAAAAGGGCAUUCAAGAAGAUCAUCAUGCAGUUAAUCGUGAUGCUGAUCCCUCGCAUGCUAUUGAAUAUCAUCAAGAGGGCUAGAGAAGCACACCCUUUAUUGGGUACCAGCAUCGGGGAAGAAAGGAGAUUGCUGCCCGUGGCAAACGUCCGCUAGACAUCAACAACAAUCUGAGUGUUUCCACAGAUGGUGAUGAAAAUGUUGAGAAAAACACUGCUGUGGAACAACCACCAAAAUCAAAACGUCAAAAGACCGGAUCUAACGAGGAUAAGAGAAACAGGGCAUCGCCUGCAAGGCUUUUCAAGCUGAAUAAACUUCUUGUACCUGUUCAACAAGGCCAAGCUCAAGUCACUUUCAGUCAAUUUCUGACACCAGCCUUAUACAGAUCAUGGGGAAAGAGAAAGGGAGGCAUGUGUUCUUCAGUAACCCAGGGGACAGGGAUGAAAGAAGCACACAACCAUGGGGAAAAGUGAAAGCUAAAUCUGACCUUUUUCUGUGCUUCUUCUACCCUUAGUCAAUAUGAAUUGCCUGGAGAACAAAUCCUAAACCAACCACCAUUGGAGGACUGUGGAGAGUUUUCUGGAUCUGGGAGUUGUCCCUUUGUGGCUUGGGAGAGAGAAGAAGAUGGGGCUGGGCGAUUUGGUGGGGAGAAAAGGAGACGCCCAGGGGGGUGGAGGAGGGAAACACGUGGGGGAGGGAGGAUCAGGUGAGUUCCGCGGCUCGAUGGUUGGGUGCCAGGAAUCGGGAGCGGGGGCCAGGUACUUUCCUAUUCUGGAUAGGAGGGACAGAAAAUUACUAUUUUGGGAGGGCUGCCAGGGAACGCUAGGGAGCAGCCGGCUGCUCCUAGACACGUCCAUCUAUCUUUAUGUUAAAUGCCUUUUUAAGAUCUUACUUACAGAUAAAACUAGCAAAGUUGUUUAGUAUAAAAAAAGGUGAUUGAACGGGGAUUUGAACCACGUAGCACUAAUCUCUACGUUCCAACAAGCCAAGUUCUUACAUACAACGAGCCAAGUUUUUUUUUUCAAGAUUUUUAUAGUACUUUUCACGUGUAGGCAACAAUAUGUUUUUUUUUUCUUUUGCGAAAAGACAACAAUAGUUAUGUACUGUACAACUUAAUGUCAAUGUAUAGCAAACAUUUAUGAAAUCUCCUAAGAAAAUUGUGCCCAUCUUAUGAAUCAAUAACAUUGUUCCAUGUCCAUUUGGAAGAAUUGUCUACCAUAUUUUGAUAUUAUUAUCAUUUUUUCUAAUAGGUUGCAACUAGAAGUGAAGUUAUCCCUAAGUAUCUUUUGACAUUUUUGUCUAUUUCUUGGAUAUGAGCUAAAAAAACAUAAUUCCUUAAAUAUCUUUUUUGAAAUGUUUAAACCUUAUUUGACUUACAUAUACAACAAAUUGCACUACCUCCAGUAAGCACACAUAAAUUUAUUUAAACCAUAGAAAAUUUAAAUCAUCUAAAAAAUUAUUGAAACUCCUACAAACGAAAAUAUAUUUAUUAUAGUACAUGUGACAAUUUUAUAGGGGUAUGCCACAUAUUUUAAUUAAAAAAAAGAACACCACAUUAAUGGAACUCGAACCUGAGACAUAAAUUUUAAGUGGUUAGCACCUUCGAACUUGGCAACUUGUAUUUAAAAAAAUGGUUAACAUUUUUUUGAGAAAUAAAUUCAGACAUCUAUUUUGAAAAAAAUUGUCAUGUAUUUAAAAAGUGUUAUACAUGUAUAAAAAUGUGGCAAAUUUGACAAUUUUGACCUCGAGACGAAAUCAAUUCACAGAAUGAACUGCCCGUGAAACUAUUUCACUCCCCUGACCUUUUUGUGUAGCGCCCGCUACGACGGCGCCACACUCUACGGUGCAGCGCCUAGCUCGGGGGCGUUGCACGCCAGUCCACCGUGGCAGCCCCUGGGCCCGCAUCCAGCAGUGCAGCGCCUCCGAGCUAGGCGCCACACGUGUAAUGUGCAGCACCUCCGAGCUAGGCGCCACACAUUUAAAGUGCAACGCCCAGCUCAUAGGCGCUGCACUGUGACUUAUCCAGCCACUUGGCUGCCCCCCCACUCCUCCCACCCCACACACUCAACCCGAGCUUUGGCCCCUCUCCUCCUCUCAAAUCCUCUCCCAAAUCUUGCAUAUUCGAAGAAUUUGUCCGUGGAUUUCGAAGUCAAACCCUCCCUCAAGGAUCUGGUCAACAAGGCCCUUCUUUUGAGGUGCAAUAGUGGAGGUGAUCUCUAUCCGUUUUCAAGCAAUAAUGGCCGCUCCUCUCCGAUGGUCCUCACCGUCCAGCCGUCCAACUUGUCGCAGACUUGGCCACCCCAGCUCAUCUACUUUAGCUCAUUUUCCCCUUGAUUUCUUAGACUCAUGUAAUAAAGAUGUCCAUGACUCCAUGCUUUGUACUGCAUGCUAGCUUGGCAAAUAUACUCGCCUCCCCUUCCCCACCUCUACAUCGUUCGCCACCGCGCCUUUUCAAUUAGUCCACUGCGAUUUAUGGACAUCGCCAGUUGUUAGCUUUUCCGGUUAUAAUUAUUACCUUGUCAUAUUGGAUGAUUUUUCACAUUAUUCAUGGACAUUUCUUUGCGAGCCAAAUCUGAUACGUCUCGAGCAUGGAGUUUUGUUUUUUAAUUUUGAAAUGCAACCUAACUCCAAAAAGCAUGAAAGUUCAUGUUGGAAAAAAUGUUAAGACGUUUGUCUUCAAAUAAAGUACAAAAGAAAUAGAUUCCAUUUCAUUUAUCCAUGUCCAAGAACGAAUUAAAUUUAGUAAAAUAAAACUAAAAUAAGGAAAAAAAAGCCACAAAAAUAGUAGUACGUACGUCGGAUUUGAACAAGGACCUCAUUUACAUUUCUAACGCCACAAAACUACAGUUUUAAUCUAAACACACACCGGCCUUUUUAUAGUAGUAGAAGAUAUUUUCUAGCAUGCUGCCUUCUGAUUGGCUGAACCAGACCUCCCACGGAUCACGCCUCUCCACCGUCCAUCCUUAGUUGAUUCAACGGUGCCCGCUCCUUCUACUCUCUAUCUGUGCUUUCCCUGAUUCUUAUCCUCUCACAGCCACACGAACGAGAGCUCCAUGACAGCAGCAGCCGCGCCCGAGGAAAUCCACAGCUCGCAGCCAUCGGACGUCGCCGUCCGCGCGGAGUGCCGCCGCCCGAACCUCCCACCACAGCACGCCGGUGAGCCGCGCCUUGCGCCGCCUCUCUCUCUCCUAUGUUCUCCUCUCUAAUCUCGCUCCUCCUUGCAGCAAUGGAGGCCGACCGCCCAUGGCAUCGCCCGAGCUCACCUCCCAGCAGUCAUUCUCCUUUGAAUUCGUCGGGAUCCGGCUGGAUCCGGACGCCAGCGCCCCGUUCCUACCUCCCCGCCUCGCUUGGGUCGUCGGCCAGCUCGACGAUGUCAGACUGCUCGCGGGAUCCAGCGCCACCGCUGGCUGGCCACUUCCUCCUGGAGGAGACGCCCCCACAUCGGCGCCUCCCCAUAUGAGCAGCAGCAGCGAAUGCCUCGCUAAGGGCAUCUCUGGUGGUGUUUUUUAUAAAUUGUUUUAAAGAAGUUUGCCAGAUCUGUGACUGAAAAACAAUGGCGUUGAACUCCGAUUGACGUCCCGCGAAGGCUGGCGGCGCUUGAUGUGGUGGCUGGAGAAUAUCUCUGGGCAAAACAGUAGGCCAGAUCUAGGGGGGGAAAAUCUGUAAUUCCAAGUUUUUGAUUGUGUAUUUCUUCCUUUUGGUAAAAAUAAAAUUUAGUUAUCUAGUAUGUU